rnacentral:lncRNA from 1 species
CCAUUGCACAAUGAAAAUUCAUUCAUGUAUAACAUUUCUAUAUUUAGCAAUGCAAUACAUGGAAAACUAUGUUUAAAAAAACAGUUUAUAUAAAACUAGAUGUGCAGGUAGUAAUUUUUAACAAUAUUUACUCACAGAGCCGUUUUAUGAUUGCCAAUGAUAUACUUAUCCAACCGAGGUAAAAUGAAGCAAAUAAAAGCAAGUCACCGUACGGUCAAAAUUGAGAAACAACUCAAACGAUAAAAGAAAUCAAAAGUCUCAUUUAUAACAAUGCGAUUAACGAAAGGCAAAUAGGACAGACAUGUUCUAAGUAAACAACAACCAUUUAUUUACAUCCUCUUGGAUAUGGCAAUCAACAAUGGGGCGGGGUUUUAAGACUUUUGUUAGCCCUCAUUCCUCAUGUUCCUAUGUAUUAACGUCUUUAGCAAAGACUAGAUGACUAAAAUGAAAACCUCAAUUGUAUGACAAAGCGACCUUCUGAAC